GCCGCUGUGACGGAAUAGGCAGACGUAACAGACUUAAAAUCUGUCGAGAGAAAUCUCAUACCGGUUCAAGUCCGGUCAGCGGUACCA
rnacentral:tRNA from 1 species